rnacentral:rRNA from 1 species
UUCUGACCUCAGGUCAAGCAAGACU